rnacentral:tRNA from 1 species
GGCGGGAUAGUUUAAAUAAAAAUAUCGGUUUUGUACACCGGGGAUCCUUUAGGGCCUGCCU